rnacentral:rRNA from 1 species
AGAGUUUGAUCCUGGCUCAGGAUGAACGCUAGCGGCAGGCUUAAUACAUGCAAGUCGAACGGUAAGGUCUCUUCGGAGAUACACGAGUGGCGCACGGGUGCGUAACGCGUAUGCAACCUACCUUUAACUGGGAAAUAGCCCCGAGAAAUCGGGAUUAAUGUCCCAUAUUAUUCUGAGAAUGCAUAUUCUUAGAAUGAAAGCUCCGGCGGUUAUUGAUGGGCAUGCGUGACAUUAGCUAGUUGGUGAGGUAACGGCUCACCAAGGCUACGAUGUCUAGGGGUCCUGAGAGGGUUAACCCCCACACUGGUACUGAGACACGGACCAGACUCCUACGGGAGGCAGCAGUAAGGAAUAUUGGGCAAUGGACGCAAGUCUGACCCAGCCAUGCCGCGUGAAGGAUGAAUGUCCUAUGGAUUGUAAACUUCUUUUAUGCAGGAAAAAUAUCCCGGUCGUGAACCGGGACUGAUGGUACUGUAUGAAUAAGCAUCGGCUAACUCCGUGCCAGCAGCCGCGGUAAUACGGAGGAUGCAAGCGUUAUCCGGAUUCAUUGGGUUUAAAGGGUGCGCAGGCGGAAUUAUAAGUCAGUGGUGAAAUCUCCCGGCUCAACCGGGAAACUGCCAUUGAUACUGUUAUUCUUGAGUACAGUUGAAGUGGGCGGAAUGUGUCAUGUAGCGGUGAAAUGCUUAGAUAUGACACAGAACACCGAUAGCGAAGGCAGCUCACUAAGCUGUAACUGACGCUCAUGCACGAAAGCGUGGGGAUCAAACAGGAUUAGAUACCCUGGUAGUCC